GCACGAGAGGGCGCUACUGCUGCUGCGGCCGACGAGUCUGUACGCAUCACACAGCAGCCAGCCGCGUGGAUCAACGUGAACGCCGGCGACGUGUUCCAGCUGCAGUGUCAGGCUGCGGGGUUCCCCUACCCCUGCUAUCGCUGGUUCCAGCUCGAGGAAGGAGGUUCCUACGCUGAGAUCCAGGGGUGUAGAGACAGUCUCCUGUCUCUACGAGCGCCCGCUGACUAUAAAUGCUCGAAUGGUGGUCGGAUGUACGUAACAUGUCGGGUUCACAACGCAGCGAGCGACUGCGUCUAUAGCAAUUGGUGUCGCGUAGACGUGCUGCAGCCGAUAACGAAGACCGCGAGCGACCGGGGGAGCGACUAUGACGGAGGCUGUU